rnacentral:snoRNA from 2 species
GUAUGUGGAUGAUGAGAUCACAAGUAAAAAUACAGUUAUCCCUGUCUUACUCCUUGGAAGGGUGCUGAGAAUACUUUCAAUCUGAUAUGAUA